UUGUGGGGCUUAAGAGGAGUGGAAAGUGUUUAUGGUACAGAUAUAAAUACGUGCAAUUAUGUUCCUUAUUAGUUUAAUGGCUUCAAAACAAGAAGGUUUAAUUGCCUUCGGACCAGACACUGUUGACAUGAUGUGAAGCGCUUCCAAACCUCUGAAGCAGAUACAACUGGCUGGAAUAAAUAAAACUUUCCCACGUCUAUAUUUUGAUUACUGACUCAGAAUUACCAAGGAAAUAUUUUCUGCAUUUUUGACUUUAUUUUAAAUGUAUUUGUAGCUGUAUGUUAAAUGUAGUUUCAGGUCUUAACCAAUAAAGUAUCAUUUCAUAAGACUUUUAUGCUUCACAGUAAAAAAAAUGCCAAAUGCCCUUGGGGACCCCUCAUGAUUUAAACAUGGUAGCUAACUUAGCUACCUUCUCACGCAGCAAUAAACACACUGCCUUGAAGAUGGCUAUGUCUCUUCAACCAAGGAGAGAAAGUGUUUGUAGCUAUUUAACGUACCUCAGUUUGUGGGGUUAAGCUUGUUCUUUAAAUUAUUAUCAACAUAAAAUCAUAUAUUUUCCACAUCACAUCAUUUUAUGGC
rnacentral:lncRNA from 1 species